rnacentral:rRNA from 1 species
UGGGUAACCUGCCUUAUAGUGGGGGAUAGCCUUUCGAAAGGAAGAUUAAUACCGCAUAAGAUUGUAGUAUCGCAUGAUAUAGCAAUUAAAGGAGCAAUUCGCUANAAGAUGGACCCGCGUCGCAUUAGCUAGUUGGUGAGGUAAUGGCUCACCAAGGCGACGAUGCGUAGCCGACCUGAGAGGGUGAUCGGCCACAUUGGGACUGAGACACGGCCCAGACUCCUACGGGAGGCAGCAUG